GACGAACGCUGGCGGCGUGCUUAACACAUGCAAGUCGAACGAUGACGACCGAGCUUGCUCGGUCUGAUUAGUGGCGAACGGGUGAGUAACACGUGAGCAACCUGCCCUUCACUCUGGGAUAACCUCGGGAAAUCGGGGCUAAUACCGGAUAUGAGCUCCUGUCGCAUGGCGGGUGUUGGAAAGUUUUUCGGUGAAGGAUGGGCUCGCGGCCUAUCAGUUUGUUGGUGAGGUAGUGGCUCACCAAGGCGAUGACGGGUAGCCGGCCUGAGAGGGCGACCGGCCACACUGGGACUGAGACACGGCCCAGACUCCUACGGGAGGCAGCAGUGGGGAAUAUUGCACGAUGGGCGAAAGCCUGAUGCAGCGACGCCGCGUGAGGGGUGACGGCCUUCGGGUUGUAAACCUCUUUCAGCAGGGAAGAAGCGAAAGUGACGGUACCUGCAGAAGAAGCGCCGGCUAACUACGUG
rnacentral:rRNA from 1 species